rnacentral:rRNA from 1 species
GAUGAACGCUGGCGGCGUGCCUAACACAUGCAAGUCGAGCGAUUCUCUUCGGAGAAGAGCGGCGGACGGGUGAGUAACGCGUGGGUAACCUGCCCUGUACACACGGAUAACAUACCGAAAGGUAUGCUAAUACGAGAUAAUAUGCUUUUAUCGCAUGGUAGAAGUAUCAAAGCUUCGGCGGUACAGGAUGGACCCGCGUCUGAUUAGCUAGUUGGUAAGGGAACGGCUUACCAAGGCGACGAUCAGUAGCCGACCUGAGAGGGUGAUCGGCCAAAUUGGAACUGAGACACGGUCCAAACUCCUACGGGAGGCAGCAGUGGGGAAUAUUGCACAAUGGGCGAAAGCCUGAUGCAGCAACGCCGCGUGAGCGAUGAAGGCCUUCGGGUCGUAAAGCUCUGUCCUCAAGGAAGAUAAUGACGGUACUUGAGGAGGAAGCCCCGUCUAACUACGUGCCAGCCGCCGCGGUAA